rnacentral:rRNA from 1 species
UACGUAGGGUGCGAGCGUUAAUCGGAAUUACUGGGCGUAAAGCGUGCGCAGGCGGUUCGCUAAGACCGAUGUGAAAUCCCCGGGCUUAACCUGGGAACUGCAUUGGUGACUGACGGGCUAGAGUGUGGCAGAGGGGGGUAGAAUUCCACGUGUAGCAGUGAAAUGCGUAGAGAUGUGGAGGAAUACCGAUGGCGAAGGCAGCCCCCUGGGCUAACACUGACGCUCAUGCACGAAAGCGUGGGGAGCAAACAGG